CAUAAGAAGGGCAAUGGUUUUCCUUGGAUAUUGACUACUAUCACCAUCUUCCUUCGACACAAUCUGGAACCGCGGGACUCUCUCACGGAAUGUGAGUGAGAGUCCAUCAGCUGGCAGCCUGGGCAUAACGACAUGAUCUGAUUUUGGCAAACCUAAGGACGCAAACGACAAUGAUACCAUUAGCUACAUUGCAGGCUUGGUAAAGCCGUUCAGCGUAGGAACCCCACAAGUUUCGUCAGCCAAGAUCAGCUCCAGGAUUUCUGAAGUGCUGCUUGUGUAUUGCCGCCACAAGUGAAG